UACAGAGGGUGCGAGCGUUAAUCGGAAUUACUGGGCGUAAAGCGUGCGUAGACGGUUAUUUAAGUCGGGUGUGAAAGCCCCGGGCUCAACCUGGGAAUUGACAUUCGAGACUGAAUAGCUAGGGUACGGUAGAGGGAAGCGGAAUUUCCGGUGUAGCGGUGAAAUGCGUAGAUAUCGGAAAGGAACGAUCAGUGGCGAAAGCGG
rnacentral:rRNA from 1 species